GGGACACGUGGUAUCCUGUCUGAAUAUGGGGGGACCAUCCUCCAAGGCUAAAUACUCCUGACUGACCGAUAGUGAACCAGUACCGUGAGGGAAAGGCGAAAAGAACCCCGGCGAGGGGAGUGAAAAAGAACCUGAAACCGUGUACGUACAAGCAGUGGGAGCCUCUUUUAUGGGGUGACUGCGUACCUUUUGUAUAAUGGGUCAGCGACUUAUAUUCUGUAGCAAGGUUAACCGAAUAGGGGAGCCGAAGGGAAACCGAGUCUUAACUGGGCGUUAAGUUGCAGGGUAUAGACCCGAAACCCGGUGAUCUAGCCAUGGGCAGGUUGAAGGUUGGGUAACACUAACUGGAGGACCGAACCGACUAAUGUUGAAAAAUUAGCGGAUGACUUGUGGCUGGGGGUGAAAGGCCAAUCAAACCGGGAGAUAGCUGGUUCUCCCCGAAAGCUAUUUAGGUAGCGCCUCGUGAAUUCAUCUCCGGGGGUAGAGCACUGUUUCGGCAAGGGGGUCAUCCCGACUUACCAACCCGAUGCAAACUGCGAAUACCGGAGAAUGUUAUCACGGGAGACACACGGCGGGUGCUAACGUCCGUCGUGAAGAGGGAAACAACCCAGACCGCCAGCUAAGGUCCCAAAGUCAUGGUUAAGUGGGAAACGAUGUGGGAAGGCCCAGACAGCCAGGAUGUUGGCUUAGAAGCAGCCAUCAUUUAAAGAAAGCGUAAUAGCUCACUGGUCGAGUCGGCCUGCGCGGAAGAUGUAACGGGGCUAAACCAUGCACCGAAGCUGCGGCAGCGACACUAUGUGUUGUUGGGUAGGGGAGCGUUCUGUAAGCCUGUGAAGGUGUACUGUGAGG
rnacentral:rRNA from 1 species